rnacentral:sRNA from 1 species
GCCCCAUUGAAGUUGUGGGUGAUAGGUUAGCCUCAGUAGCCUGAGUCAGGACAUGGAAUGGCCAGAUAAGGGCUUCAGGUAUAAUACAAAUCUAUCCAUGCAAGCAUUUACCGCCAGUCUCUGGCGGUUUUUUUUUGCCUUAUUCAUGGAAUUUGGGCAAAAAAAUAGCCCCUUGUGCGUGAUGCAACAAGGGGCUUUUACGGGUGGGGAUUAUCGUUCAUUAGUCA